GAACAAAAUCAGGGGAAACGAGAAAAAGUAGAGUAAAUUUUCACUAAUCAAUUACUACAAUCUAAUCUCCUUUUACCUCAUUUUACUGUAUUGUUUCUCCCACAACAUUUCUUUAAAUGCAUUGUAAUCUGAGAUGAUUUUCUCGUUUAGCAUCAGACAAUGCAGAAUAUUCAUAAUGCAUGGAACACUUAAAAGUUUCAAAGUAAUUUGCUUCCAUUCUGCAGAUGUGACUCAUUUCCAAAUCAGCACAAGCCAUGUUAACUAAUUGGAGAUGAUAUAAUUAAGUAACAAAAACAGAAAAGAAAAAAAGAGAGAGGAAAAAAUAUAAAGAAAAAUUCUAGUGAACAUGAAGUGGUAAGGUAUUCUAUUCAAUGGCUACUUCACAAGGAAAGCAAGCUAUGUCACUGAUAUGUUGAUAAUGAAGUGGUCCUUCUAUCACGUAACAUGGGAAUAAAGCAAUCUGCUAUAUGAACAAGCUGCUUGCCAGACUUGCUUGGCUUGGAACUGCGUUUCUUUAUAAUGCUUUAGUAGGACUACUGUACCUCAAAUACUAGCAAACUGAUAAAGAGAACACCUUCUUCACUCUACCAGUCUUAAAAGCACUUAGGAGCUUCCACUGAUAUUUAUACUGCUCAUUAUUCCAUUAAAAUCUGAUCUUAAUUCAGGAUCAAGUGUGUAGUCAUUCUGUGUGUUCUUAUUUAUGAAAUUGGAGGGCACUCUUCGAAGCAUUUUCUAGUCACUACAUAUUAAAUGAAGUGUAAUGACAUCUGAAAUAGCUGAAGGAAAAAAGGUAUUUUGAAUGAUGUUGUAAGUAUAAAAAGUACUAUGAUCUAAAAAAAUACCCUUUUUCGUUGGUAUUUCUGCCAUAUUCUAGGGAUAGCCUACAUUGCUUUUGAGAGUGAAUAAAAAAUUUAUAGGUCAGAUUUUACUGUUUUUCAAAAAUUAUGUCUUAUCUAUCAGCAUUUAGCAUUAAGUGAGGCUGUGUUUAAUUUGCACCUGCAAUUGGAAUGUAGAAAAUUGAGACAAAAAGUAAAAAGCAGCCUUAAACUUAGAAAGU
rnacentral:lncRNA from 1 species